rnacentral:rRNA from 1 species
UACAGAGGUCUCAAGCGUUGUUCGGAUUCAUUGGGCGUAAAGGGUGCGUAGGCGGCGCGGUAAGUCGGGUGUGAAAUCUCGGAGCUUAACUCCGAAACUGCAUUCGAUACUGCCGUGCUUGAGGACUGGAGAGGAGACUGGAAUUUACGGUGUAGCGGUGAAAUGCGUAGAUAUCGGGAGGAACACCUGUGGCGAAAGCGGCGCACUGGACCAUAACUGACGCUGAGGCGCGAAAGCUAGGGGAGCAAACAGG